rnacentral:antisense_RNA from 1 species
CUUCAGCGAGCCGAGCCACAACGGCGUCUCCCGCUCCUGGCCGUAGGUCGCCAGGAGCGCCUGCGCCUC